GUGUCAGCAGCCGCGGUAAUACGAACUGUGCGAACGUUAUUCGGAAUCACUGGGCUUAAAGGGUGCGUAGGCGGCGGCACAAGUCAGGUGUGAAAUCCCCCGGCUCAACCGGGGAACAGCGCUUGAAACUAGGUCGCUCGAGUGAGGCAGGGGUAUGUGGAACUUCCGGUGGAGCGGUGAAAUGUGUAGAUAUCGGAAGGAACGCCGGCGGCGAAAGCGGCAUACUGGGCCUUGUCUGACGCUGAGGCACGAAAGCCAGGGGAGUGAACGGGAUUAGAUACCCCGGUAAUCCUGGCCGUAAACACUGAGCACUGGAGGAGAGGGGCUUCGGCCUUUCUCCUCGCAGCGAAAGCGUUAAGUGCUCCGCCUGGGGAGUAUGGUCGCAAGGCUGAA
rnacentral:rRNA from 1 species